GAGAGAUGGUUUCCUUAGAUGGGAGAAUACUCCAUUUAAAAAAAAAAAACAGUUCUGACAUCUUAUUUGAUCCUUUGGCUUUUAAGUAAAAUAUUUCAGACAAGUUCAACAUGCAGGUGAUGGUCUAGUUCAUCCCAUAUAGAAAAUACUGUAGCUUGCAUGAUUUUGAGGUUUUAGACUCUAAUUAGUAGAAACUUUUAAAUUAGCAGUUAAUUUUCUUAUCUGAUAAAACAUUGUGUGAAUAAUGAAUAUAUAGGCUCACUCGGUUUUCAUUGUUUUCACAGGGCUUGGGGGCAGGAUAUUUUUUGGUAAUGAGUAUAUAACCCUAAGGAAUCCCCAUGUAGAGAGGACAAGGGUAAAAAAGUUGUAGAUACAUGUUCCCCCAAAUGUUAUUCCCAGGAAAAGUAGAUUUGCCUUGUUGGUGUAUUACAAUGAGUGAUUUGGUGAUACUUCUGUCCAUUAGAGUAUAUUUUGCUGAUGUGCUUGUGUGUAGGAAGAGUAUUUCCUUCCCUGGCUGGCUGAAGUUUGGAUUUUUUGUGCUGAUUGUUGAGACAGCAACAGCUAUGGCCUGUGGCAUCUCUGUGGAUGGGGCAGGAUGGCUGCACAUCUCUGCUGCUUGCCUGACGGCCUCUUCCCCAACUCCCAGAACCAGAGCAGAGAGAAGGAAU
rnacentral:lncRNA from 1 species